UCCCUCUUGGUGUAGUGGUUAACACCUUUAUCUUCUGCUAGUAAAAAAGUCAGGAGGUCUGGUGUUCAAAUCCCAUUGGUGGAU